UAUUGACCUAGGUAUAAAAGGUGUUGGGGGUGAUAGAAGCGAUCUUUUUCCUCUCUUUCUCUCUUCGUUCUUAGCUCGGCUCUGCGCAUCUGGAGGUAUGUAGUUGUUGGGUGAUGGGUUCUGCAUGUCGUUGCUCUGUCUAUUUCUAUUCGAUUCAGCACUUAUUUGUUGGGUUUUUGUGAAAGAUUGUUGGGUGUGUGUCUGAUAUGGUGUUUUUGUGACAUAUUCUUGGGUGUGCGACUGAUUUGGGCGAGGAGAAGGAGGCUGAUUGUGGAGGAAAUGGGAGAGGAAUUCACAGCGAAAGAGAGUGAUAAAAUUUCCUAGAGACUGAGGGGCGGGGGUUGUUGAUGGGUUUUCGAUUCGACCAAGAUGAGGAGCAAGGGGACGGGAGGAGCAUGAUUCUCGGUAUUUGAUUUUCGAUUCCGUUUAUUUUUUCCCCUCCUCUGAUUUCUCAUGCAUCGGUUUGAUGCAUGUCUUCAAUCUGUUUGAUGCCAGAAGAGGGAUUGAAAUCGGCAGUGUUGGAAUGUUUGAAGCUUUGAUCGGGUAAUUUUCUCGCGUGUUUCUCAGCUAUAGUCAAAAGAUUGAAUCGGUUUCUGUCAUCAGAACGAACGAACUUGUCUGAGUCUUGGUCUCUUUGCUUCCGGUAAGAAUUUUUUAUGAUUUUCUGUUUUCAAUUUAUUACAGCUACUGCUGCGUUCAAUCACGUCAAGAAUAACUUGAAUUCACUGACAGUGAAGGAGUGUAAACUUCACCAAGAGUUCUGCAACAUAGAACGCCAAAUUUGAGGUAUCAAGAUCAGUGAUAUUUGAAAGAAGUUAGGGAGGAGUUUGUUAUAGCACCUUUUGUUUGGUUAAGGUUCUCCAAGGCAACAGAUAAUAUCAAAAAACUGCCCACUCCAUACAAACAAUUAACAGCAGCAGAAGUCGAAAAAGAGGAUAAAACCACUGUGCGUAAAUUGAACAAGCUUAACCCCCAAAAAUACAAGAACCAAUUGGUGUACUGCGAAGCUUUCUUUUCCAGAUUUUCAACACAUGAUGGCUGGUGGUACGAGGGAUGCCCACAAUGCUACAAACAACUGACGGUGAAGAAAAAUAGCGACCUGCGAGUCUGUCUAGACCACAGCAUGCAAAUACCUCUUCCAUGAGUCCAUGCCACCAUUGAAGAUCCAAACAGUGAAGCCACAAUCAAGCUUAGAGGAAAACCAGCUGAACAAUUGUUUGGAAUAACUUGCAGAGACCUCAUAGACAGAUACCCUUAUGCUCCACAGGAAACAUUACCCCAGGAAAUAUUGCAAACAAAAGGGCAAAUUCAUAUUUUCCAAGUCCAAAUCAAUGAGGCAAAUGACUUCAUAGUGAAAGGUAUGUUUCCAAGCACAAAGAAUCAACCAAGUGCCGGCACACCAGCUCAUCCAAUGUAUGACAAAAAAAAAUCCGUCGAUAAAGGAAGAAGACAACUAUUUGCUACCAAUCCAGACAAAAAGGCCCGCAGGGAAGGAAGCACUGAAUCAGCAACAUCAUCCACAAACACUGAACAAGGAAAAAAUGGACUGAAAUAUCAUGUCACUGUUUGUGUAAAUAGAAAUGGAGGCAGCAACUUUUUGGACAACCUCCACAAG